CUCCGUCACUCCCUCCCCUGCCCCAUCUCUUUCCUUAGUUCUUACAGUCCUAGUCGUGGCUCACUAGCCUGACCCUGCCUGAAGAGAUAGGAAAGGAACUGUGCUCCACGUAAAUGAACCUGCCUCACCCUCAAAAUAAUCCAGAGCCUGGAUCAUCCCACAUGGACGCUACUGGACCGGUGGCCUGCAAGAUAGAACCAAGAAACUUUCUUCCCAACUGUUAUAAAAAAGAACAGAACAGAAGAGAACAAAACACAGCAAUCCUUAGAUUCUCUCCCAGCCCACUUCCCCUCUGGAAACCCAUUUACUGUCUCCUUCUAGUGUAUUUCAAUAAAUUCUCCUG
rnacentral:lncRNA from 1 species